UAGGGAAUCUUCCGCAAUGGGCGAAAGCCUGACGGAGCAACGCCGCGUGAGUGAUGAAGGUCUUCGGAUCGUAAAACUCUGUUAUUAGGGAAGAACAAAUGUGUAAGUAACUAUGCACGUCUUGACGGUACCUAAUCAGAAAGCCACGGCUAACUACGUGCCAGCAGCCGCGGUAAUACGUAGGUGGCAAGCGUUAUCCGGAAUUAUUGGGCGUAAAGCGCGCGUAGGCGGUUUUUUAAGUCUGAUGUGAAAGCCCACGGCUCAACCGUGGAGGGAUAUUGGAAGCUGGAAAACUUGAGUGCAGAAGAGGAAAGUGUAAUUCCAUGUGUAGCGGUGAAAUGCGCAGAGCUAUGGAGGAACCCCAGUGGCGAAGGCGACUUUCUGGUCUGUAACUGACGCUGAUGUGCGAAAGCGUGGUGAUCAAACAGG
rnacentral:rRNA from 1 species